rnacentral:rRNA from 1 species
UACGUAGGGAGCAAGCGUUAUCCGGAAUUAUUGGGUGUAAAGGGUGCGUAGACGGGAGUUUAAGUUGGUUGUGAAAUCCCUCGGCUCAACUGAGGAACUGCAACCAAAACUGAACUUCUUGAGUGCAGGAGAAGAAAGCGGAAUUCCUAGUGUAGCGGUGAAAUGCGUAGAUAUUAGGAGGAACACCGGUGGCGAAGGCGGCUUUCUGGACUGUAACUGACGUUGAGGCACGAAAGUGUGGGGAGCAAAC